rnacentral:rRNA from 1 species
CAUGCCGCGUGUGUGAAGAAGGCCUUCGGAUUGUAAAGCACUUUUGUCCGGAAAGAAAUCGCACUGGUUAAUACCUGGUGUGGAUGACGGUACCGGAAGAAUAAGGACCGGCUAACUACGUGCCAGCAGCCGCGGUAAUA